rnacentral:rRNA from 1 species
GAUGAACGCUGGCGGCGUGCCUAAUACAUGCAAGUAGAACGCUGAAGGAAGGAGCUUGCUCUUUCCGGAUUAGUGGCGAACGGGUGAGUAACGCGUAGGUAACCUGCCUGUUAGCGGGGGAUAACUAUUGGAAACGGUAGCUAAUACCGCAUAACAUUAGAUGUUGCAUGAUAUCUACUUAAAAGGUGCAAUUGCACCACUACCAGAUGGACCUGCGUUGUAUUAGCUAGUUGGUUAGGUAACGGCUCACCAAGGCGACGAUACAUAGCCGACCUGAGAGGGUGAUACGCCACACUGGGACUGAGAACCGGCCCCGAAUCCCACGGGAGGGAGCAGUAGGGAAUCCUCGGGAAUGGACGGAAGGCUGAACGGGCAAAGCCGCGUGAGUGAAGAAGGGUCUCGGAUCGGAAAGCUCCGUUGUAAGAGAAGAACGAGUGUGAGAGUGGACAGUUCACACUGUGACGGUAUCUUACCAGAAAGGCACGGCUAACUACGUG